UACGUAGGGGGCAAGCGUUGUCCGGAUUUAUUGGGCGUAAAGAGCUCGUAGGCGGUUCGGUAAGUCGGGUGUGAAACCUCCAGGCUCAACCUGGAGACGCACCGAUACUGCUGUGACUAGAGUCCGGUAGGGGAGCGGUGGAAUUCCUGGUGUAGCGGUGAAAUGCGCAGAUAUCGGGAGGAACACCUACUGGCGAAGGCAGCUCGCUGGGACGUUACUGACGCUGAGACGCGAAAGCGUGGGGAGCAAACAGG
rnacentral:rRNA from 1 species